rnacentral:rRNA from 1 species
AAACAUCGCCUCCUGCAAACCCCCAUAUAUAGGAGGUCCUACCUGCCCAGUGACUAAGUUUAACGGCCGCGGUAUUCUGACCGUGCAAAGGUAGCGCAAUCACUUGUCUCUUAAAUAGAGACCUGUAUGAAUGGUCAAACGAGGGCUUAACUGUCUCCUUUUUCUAAUCAAUGAAAUUGAUCUACCCGUGCAGAAGCGGGUAUAAAUAUACAAGACGAGAAGACCCUAUGGAGCUUAAGACAUAAAGUCACCUAUGCUAAAACCCCUAAAUUAAAAGGAUUAAGCAAAAUAAGCCAUUUGACUUGAGUCUUCGGUUGGGGCGACCGCGGGGAAUAAGAAAUCCCCCAUGUGGAAUGAAAUAUUAUUCAAACCAAGAGGUACACCUCUAAGUCACAGAACUUCUGACCAAAUGAUCCGGCACUAGCCGACCAACGGACUAAGUUACCCUAGGGAUAACAGCGCAAUCCUCUUCAAGAGUCCAUAUCGACAAGAGGGUUUACGACCUCGAUGUUGGAUCAGGACAUCCUAAUGGUGCAGCCGCUAUUAAGGGUUCGUUUGUUCAACGAUUAAAGUCCUACGUGA